GACGGUCAUUUGAGCGGCGUGGAACUACUUCUUUCCAUUCCGAACAGAACCGUAAAACGCGCCAGCGCUGAUAAUAGUGCCGCCACACGGCGGUAUGAAGGUAGGUCAUGGCCGUCA
rnacentral:rRNA from 1 species